AACGAACGCUGGCGGCGUGCCUAAUACAUGCAAGUCAAGCGCAGGAAACCGUCUGAACCCUUCGGGGGGACGACGGUGGAAUGAGCGGCGGACGGGUGAGUAACACGUAAAGAACCUGCCCACGGGUCUGGGAUAACCACGAGAAAUCGGGGCUAAUACCGGACGGGUCAUCGGACCGCAUGGUCCGAGGAUGAAAGGCGCUCCGGCGUCGCCCGUGGAUGGCUUUGCGGUGCAUUAGCUAGUUGGUGGGGUAACGGCCCACCAAGGCGACGAUGCAUAGCCGACCUGAGAGUGUGAUCGGCCACACUGGGACUGAGACACGGCCCAGACUCCUACGGGAGGCAGCAGUAGGGAAUCUUCCACAAUGGACGAAAGUCUGAUGGAGCAACGCCGCGUGAACGAUGAAGGCCCUCGGGUCGUAAAGUUCUGUUGUAAGGGAAGAACAAGUGCCGCAGGCAAUGGCGGCACCUUGACGGUACCUUGCGAGAAAGCCACGGCUAACUACGUGCCAGCCGCCGCAGUAAAAC
rnacentral:rRNA from 1 species